GAUGAACGCUAGCGGGAGGCCUAACACAUGCAAGCCGAGCGGUAUUGCUUCUUCGGAAAUGAGAGAGCGGCGUACGGGUGCGGAACACGUGUGCAACCUGCCUUUAUCUGGGGGAUAGCCUUUCGGAAGGAAGAUUAAUACUCCAUAACAUAUUGAUUGGCAUCAAUUAAUAUUGAAAGCUCCGGCGGAUAGAGAUGGGCACGCGCAAGAUUAGCUAGUUGGUGAGGUAACGGCUCACCAAGGCGAUGAUCUUUAGGGGGCCUGAGAGGGUGAUCCCCCACACUGGUACUGAGACACGGACCAGACUCCUACGGGAGGCAGCAGUGAGGAAUAUUGGUCAAUGGGUGCAAGCCUGAACCAGCCAUCCCGCGUGAAGGACGACUGCCCUAUGGGUUGUAAACUUCUUUUGUAUAGGGAUAAACCUACCCUCGUGAGGGUAGCUGAAGGUACUAUACGAAUAAGCACCGGCUAACUCCGUGCCAGCAGCCGCCGUAAUAC
rnacentral:rRNA from 1 species